rnacentral:rRNA from 1 species
GUCCACGCUGUAAACGAUGGGCACUAGGUGUCCGGGGUAUUGACCCCCUGGGUGCCGCAGCUAACGCAUUAAGUGCCCCGCCUGGGGAGUACGGUCGCAAGAUUAAAACUCAAAGGAAUUGACGGGGGCCCGCACAAGCGGUGGAGCAUGUGGUUCAAUUCGACGCAACGCGAAGAACCUUACCUGGGCUAGACAACGGCGGACCGUCCUAGAAAUAGGAUUUUCCCUUCGGGGACUGCCGGUUCAGGUGCUGCAUGGCUGUCGU